GGUUUCCUGGGCAAGGCUAAUCCUCCCAGGGUCAGUCGGGGGCUAAGGCGAGGCCGGUAGGCGUAGCCGACGCGCAGCAGGCAGACAUUCCUGCACCGCGCACGCGGCGCUACGACCGACGGGGCGACGGAUGGGGGUGGCUCGGCGGGGUUCUGGACGUCCCCGUGAUGGAGCGCGGCCCGCGGACCAGGGAAAUCCGGUCCGCACGAGGGCGAGGCUCCGGACGAAGCACUUAAGCGAAGCGAGUGAGCCCGAGGUCCCUAGAAAAACCCCUAGGCAGGCGCGUGCGCGCCCGUACCGCAAACCGACACAGGUGGGUGGGUAGAACAUACCGAGGCGAUCGGGUCAACCAUGGUCAAGGAACUCGGCACAAUGGCCCCGUAACUUCGGGAGAAGGGGUGCCCGCGCGUACGUGAACGGACUUGCUCCGGGAGCGGAGGCGGGCCGCAGUGGAGAGGCCCAAGCGACUGUUUACCAAAAACACAGGACUCUGCAGAAGCCGCAAGGCGACGUAUAGGGUCUGACGCCUGCCCGGUGCCGGAAGGUCACGCGGAGGAGUUAGCCGCAAGGCGAAGCCCUGAAGCCAAGCCCCAGUAAACGGCGGCCGUAACUAUAACGGUCCUAAGGUAGCGAAAUUCCUUGUCGGGUAAGUUCCGACCUGCACGAAAGGCGCAACGACUUGGGCGCUGUCUCGACCAUGGACCCGGUGAAAUUGCACUGGUCGUGAAGAUGCGACUUACCCGCGGAAGGACGGAAAGACCCCGUGAACCUUCACUGCAGCUUGGCAUUGGCCGCUGGUCCCGCGUGUAGAGGAUAGGCAGGAGGCACAGAUCCGGAGGCGCCAGCCCCCGGGGAGCCGCCCUUGGAAUACUGCCCUCGCGCGACCGGCGUCCUAACCCGAGGCCGUCAACCGGCUCGGGGACCGUGCCAGGCGGGCAGUUUGACUGGGGCGGUCGCCUCCUAAAGGGUAACGGAGGCGCGCGAAGGUCCGCUCGGGACGGUCGGCAACCGUCCUUUUGAAUGCAAGAGUACAAGCGGGCUUGACUGCGAGGCCCACAAGCCGAGCAGGUGCGAAAGCAGGCUCUAGUGAUCCGGCGGCCCCGAGUGGGUGGGCCGUCGCUCAACGGAUAAAAGGUACUCCGGGGAUAACAGG
rnacentral:rRNA from 1 species